rnacentral:rRNA from 1 species
UCCCUACGGGGCGCAGCAGUGAGGAAUAUUGGUCAAUGGGAGAGAUCCUGAACCAGCCAAGCCGCGUGAGGGAAGACGGCCCUAUGGGUUGUAAACCUCUUUUGUCGGAGAACAAAACCCGGGACGAGUCCCGGACUGCGUGUAUCCGAAGAAAAAGCAUCGGCUAACUCCGUGCCAGCAGCCGCGGUAAUACGGAGGAUGCGAGCGUUAUCCGGAUUUAUUGGGUUUAAAGGGUGCGUAGGCGGUCCGUUAAGUCAGUUGUGAAAGUUUGCGGCUCAACCGUAAAAUUGCAGUUGAUACUGGCU